rnacentral:rRNA from 1 species
UACGUAGGUGGCAAGCGUUAUCCGGAAUUAUUGGGCGUAAAGCGCGCGCAGGUGGUUUCUUAAGUCUGAUGUGAAAGCCCACGGCUCAACCGUGGAGGUCAUUGGAAACUGGGAGACUUGAGUGCAGAAGAGGAAAGUGGAAUUCCAUGUGUAGCGGUGAAAUGCGUAGAGAUAUGGAGGAACACCAGUGGCGAAGGCGACUUUCUGGUCUGUAACUGACACUGAGGCGCGAAAGCGUGGGGAGCAAACAGG